GACGUAGGGCGCGAGCGUUGUCCGGAUUUACUGGGCGUAAAGGGCGCGUAGGCGGUCAGCACAAGUCAGUUGUGAAAUCUCCGGGCUUAACUCGGAAAGGUCAACUGAUACUGUGCGACUAGAGUGCAGAAGGGGCAACUGGAAUUCUUGGUGUAGCGGUGAAAUGCGUAGAUAUCAAGAGGAACACCUGCGGCGAAGGCGGGUUGCUGGGCCGACACUGACGCUGAAGCGCGAAAGCUAGGGGAGCGAACGGG
rnacentral:rRNA from 1 species